rnacentral:rRNA from 1 species
GAUGAACGCUGACAGAAUGCUUAACACAUGCAAGUCAACUGUGGCGGACGGGUGAGUAACGCGUAAAGAACUUGCCUCACAGAUAGGGACAACAUUUGGAAACGAAUGCUAAUACCUGAUACUGUGAGAGAGCUUUGCGUCCCAUUAGCUAGUUGGAGAGGUAACGGUGCACGAAGGCGAGGAUGGGUAGCCGGCCUGAGAGGGUGAUCGGCCACAAGGGGACUGAGACACGGCCCUUACUCCUACGGGAGGCAGGGGUGGGGAAUAUUGAACAAUGUACCAAAGUCUGAUCCAGCGAUUCUGUGUGCACGAUGAAGUUUUCGGAAUGUAAAGGGUUUGCAGUUGGGAAGCGGUACCAACAGAAGAAGUGACGGCUAAAUACGUGCCAGUAGCCGCGGUAAUUC